rnacentral:lncRNA from 1 species
UUGCACGUGUUUGAAAACCAGAGGGAUCAGGAAAACAAUGCUAGAUUAUCUCAACCAACAGCAUCCUCUCAGUUUAACAAAUUGUACAAAACAUUAUUGUGUAACUCAUACAAUCACUACAAGAAAGGCAGUCAUAUAAUUCAAUUAAAAUGUCUGCGUCUGCUAUAAAAUACAGAAGGUGCAACCAUAAUUACCUAAGUUCCAGUAACUAAGUUCACCAAAGUUUCGUGGCCAGUAUAUACCAGAACAAGAAAUACAUUUUCAGCCCUUUUUAACUUACAAAACACACACACGUAUCAGCUUUCCUCAGCGCGGCACCCAUGUCUUCUAUGCAACCGUGGAAUUGAAUGAACAAAUGACCUGUUGCCGCGCACCUCAUGGAACAUGACAGCGACUUGAAGCUCGCUGGAUCUCUUGUAACUCAUUCAUCAGACAUAAUAAGCCAGCAAAGUAGCCAUCGCAGUCCAGAAUACCAAGAGUGGGAGUGUCCAUGGUUGUUUUGUUAGAGGGCUUGCACUAGGCAACCAUGGAUAAUCAUCGGGAGACGGCAUGACACAGUUAUCACCAUUGAAGUACACACGCCGUG